CCUUGUGUCCGCCAUAUUGGACGCUAACUCUGGUCAGCGGCGGCGCCGGGCCCGCUGGACUCGCCGUUCCUCUGGCCCAGCGACCUGCUCGCAGCUCCCGCCCGCUCGGCCCUCCCCGCCCGGAGGCUCCCCGCGCAGCCAGCGCCCCCCGCCCUCGGCCGGCCGGAGCGCCCCGCCGCCGCCUCAGCCUCCCCGCCUUCCCCGCCCUCCGCCGCCGCCUGCGGCCCCGCGCCCGUUCCGCGCCCUCUCCCCGCCCGCCAGCCCGCCCGCCAUGAGCCCGGCCGACGCCAAGCGCGGGGCCAAGCGCCGGAAGAACAAGCGUGGCAGUGGCGGCGGCUCGGGCGGCGGCAACGGCAGCGCGAGCGGCGGCAAGGCCGGCCCGGCGGCUGCGCUGCGCGGCUCCCAGGCCGCGGGCCUGGCGGCCCCGGGCGGCGAGGCGGCGGCCAAUGGGCCCCUCGGCCCGGGCGCGGGCGGCACCGCCCCGGGAGGCUACUUCGAGACUCCUUUUAAUUUUGGCAUGAAUCAUAGAACACCAUCCUACCCCCCUGGGGAUCAUUGUCUUCUGUGCAGAAGCGAGAGGAAAGACUCUUCAUUCUUAGAGAGUGGAAUUAAGACCGCAAGCAAAUUGGCCCUUUCCAUGGCUCCCAAGGGCAACAGUGUGCUGCGCCUGCCACUGUGGGUGUGUCCCGACUGCCGGCGGACCGUGGAGAAGGAGGAGAGGCACAGCAGCCUUGACCGGCCGGCGCAGAGCCAAGACUUUCUUCUUCACUCCUCUCUUGGUGGGUCCCAGCCAGAGGCAGGCAGCAGCGGGAGGCUGGCUCUUGGCGCUCAGACCCUGCCACAAGCCGGGCUGGGUGGCGCUGCCCCCUCGGACGCAGCGUGCGCCUGUGAGAGCUGCAGCGAGCGCAGAGAGAUUGCAGCAGAGCCCGACCGGGAGCCUCAGCAGCUGCAGAACUGUUGGUCAGAAGUGCGCUACAUGGUCCGUUGCAUUUACCGCCAGGCAGGGACCCCACUGGCAGACGACCAGGACCAGAGUCUCGUGCCCGACAAGGAGGGGGUGAAGGAGCUCGUGGAUAGGCUGUGCGAGCGGGACCCCUACCAGCUGUACCAGCGGUUGGAGCAGCAAGCCAGAGAGUAUGUGCUGGAGAUGAAGGUUCGCCUCCUGCGGCAGUUGUCGGCUGCGUCCAAAGUGCGAACGCCGGCCGCUCUGCAGGGCCCUCCGCAGGCACACCAGUUCAUCUCGCUCCUCCUUGAGGAGUACGGUGCCCUGUGCCAGGCAGCCCGCACCAUCAGCACCUUCCUGGGCACUCUGGAAAACGAACACUUGACAAAGUUCCAGGUGACAUGGGAGCUGCAUAAUAAACACCUAUUUGAAAACCUGGUCUUUUCGGAGCCUCUUCUCCAGAGCAACUUGCCAGCACUGGUGUCACAGAUCAGGCUGGGGACCACGACACAUGACACCUGUCAUGAGGAUGCAUACAGUGUCUUGCUGCAGCGAUACCAGAGCUCUGAGGAGGAGCUACGCAGGGUCGCUGAGGAGUGGCUGGAGUGCCAGAAGAGGAUUGAUGCCUACGUGGAUGAGCAGAUGACAGCGAGAACCAAGCAGCGCCUGCUGACAGAAGACUGGGAGCUUCUCAAACAAAGGCGAGUCACGGAAGAGCAGUUAACUAAUAAGAAAGCAGCCACUGGUGAGAACAACUUCACAGAUGCCAUGAGGCACAUGCUGUCAUCUCGUCUGAGCAUGCCCGACUGCCCCAACUGCAACUAUAGGAGAAGAUGCGCUUGUGAUGACUGCAGCCUCUCUCACAUCCUCACCUGUGGUAUCAUGGACCCCCCCGCCGCUGGCGACAUCCACAUUCACCAGCUGCCACUCCAGGCGGACUCCGCUCCUGACUAUCUCUCUGAGAUGCGCCCUCCUAGUGCAUCAUCAGCAAGCUCAGGGUCGGGCUCCAGCUCUCCCAUCACAGUCCAGCAGCAUCCCAGACUCCUCCUCACAGACAACGGCUCUGCACCAACUUUUUGUAGUGAUGAUGAAGAUGUUGCACCAUUGUCAGCUAAAUUUGCUGAUAUUUAUCCGUUGAGUAACUACGAUGAUACCGAAGUGGUGGCCAACAUGAAUGGGAUCCACAGCGAAUUGAAUGGUGGUGGGGAAAACAUGGCUCUAAAAGAUGAGUCCCCUCAGGUAAGCAGUGCCAGUGGUAGUUCCUCAGAAGCUGAGGAGGAAGAGGCGGAUGGAGAGAGCAGUGGGGAGCCACCAGGAGCCCCAGAGGGAGGCGGAGCUGUAGGAGAUGGGAGCCCCAGGAGAGAGGAAAGCAGAGUGGACAGCCCGCCCCCAUCUUACCCAGCUCAGCAGGCUGAACAAGCUCCAAACACUUGUGAAUGUCAUGUUUGUAAACAAGAAGUUUCUGGACUGACACCAUCAGCAAUGACAGUUGGAGCCCUCCCUCCUGGCCAUCAGUUCAUGAGCCCUGAGAAGCCCACACACCCCGCUCUGCAUCUUUACCCCCACAUCCAUGGACAUGUGCCUUUGCACGCAGUCCCACACCUGCCUCGUCCUCUUAUCCACCCCACCUUGUAUACAGCACCCCCCUUCACACACAGUAAGGCUUUACCGCCAGCACCUGUUCAGAAUCACACAAAUAAGCAUCAGGUAUUCAAUGCAUCUCUUCAAGACCAUAUUUAUCCGAGCUGUUUUGGGAAUACUCCAGAGUGGAAUAGUUCUAAAUUUAUAAGUCUUUGGGGAUCAGAAGUGAUGAAUGAUAAGAACUGGAAUCCUGGCACUUUCUUGCCAGAUACAAUUUCUGGGAGUGACAUUUUGGGGCCGACACUGUCAGAAACAAGACCUGAAGCCCUUCCACCUCCAUCUAGCAGCGAAACACCUGCAGUUCUGGACAGUAAAGAAAAAAAAAAUGCUGUAAGAAAGAAAUGUUUGUACAAUUUCCAAGAUGCUUUUAUGGAAGCAAACAAAGUUGUGAUGGCCACCUCGUCAGCCACUUCCUCUGUGUCCUGCACGGCCACCACAGUACAGUCAAGCAACAGCCAGUUCAAAGUGUCGUCCCAGAGGCCCCCUUCCAGAGCCGCUGGCAGUGACUCUCCUGCAUCUGUGAAUGCAGGUGAGGUCUUUCAUGGCGUCAGCAAAGAGGAUCACAGACACACGGCACCAGCCGUCCCAAGGAACAGCCCCACAGGCUUGGCACCACUGCCCACUCUUACUCCUGCCACCCUCUCACCAGCCUCCACACCACACCUUGCCAGCCUUGCAGCCCCAUCCUUUCCCAAGGCUGUGACCACAUCACCUGGCUUUGUGGACGCACGCAAGACCUUCUGUCCUGCUCCUGUGGCUCCCCCGCCCCCCACCACGGACAGCUCCACCAGUGCACCUCCCAGCGUCUGCAGUGACCCUGACUGCGAAGGGCACCGCUGUGAAAACGGCGUCUACGACCCACAGCAGGACGAUGGGGACGAGAGCGCCGAUGAGGACAGCUGCUCCGAGCACAGCUCCAGCACCUCGACCUCCACCAACCAGAAGGAGGGCAAGUACUGUGACUGCUGCUACUGUGAGUUCUUCGGGCACGGCGGGCCUCCAGCUGCACCAACAAGUAGAAAUUAUGCAGAAAUGAGAGAAAAGCUUCGUUUACGACUGACCAAGAGGAAAGAAGAGCAGCCUAAAAAGUCAGAUCAGCUCUCAGAAAGGGAGAGUAUGGUGGACCACCGGCGGGUGGAGGAUCUGCUGCAGUUCAUCAACAGCUCAGAGACCAAACCAGUGAGCAGCACUCGGGCGGCCAAGCGGGCGCGCCACAAGCAGAGGAAGAACACUUCCAUCUCAAGUCACCUUCUCUUUUCCUGUCGGCAGCUAGAGGAGAAAGCUCGUCUUGAAGCAGAGGCCAGGGCCCGGGAGCAUCUGCACCUCCGUGAGGAGCAGCGGCGGCGGGAGGAGGAGGAGGAGGAGCGACUCAAGGAGGAGUUUCAGCGGCUGCAGGAGCUUCAGAAGCUCAGAGCCGUGAAGAAGAAGAAGAAGGAGAGGCUGAGUAAAGACUGCUCCAAGCUGGACAUGCUCACCGGGAACUUGCGGGCAGCAGUGGGGUACUCACCCGGCUCCGAAGGCAUCCACAAUGGCUCCCUGGAGCUCGCCGAGGAGCCAGAAGCCUCACCUUGUGCCCCAUCCCAACACAUGGAGCCAGGGCCGGGCCGGGGGGCUGACGGCGUCGCUGCUGACCCCACAGAUGCCAGAGACUCCAGGCCGCUCCUGAAGGAGGCCGGCGGAAAGCAGCAGGGGCCGCUGUCUUUUCUCCUCGACAUGAUGCAUCAGCACAAAGAGGGGAGUGGCAAACAGAAGCUGAGGCCCACUGGAAAGGCCAGCACUGAGCCAGCGAGGAAGCCCUCGGAGCCCCCCCGAGCUCGGUCCCAGGCUGAGCCAAAGGCGGAGGUGCUGGACCUCGUGCCCCUGGCAGAGCAGAAAAGGGAGGAGAGGAGGGUCAGCAGCAGCAAGAAGCAGCCGAACCACAUCAAGGAAGAGAAGCCGCAGCUGGCCGGCCCUGAGCCCGCCUCCCCCAGCGGGCAGGCCCAGGGCAGCAAGCUGGCCCCGGCAGACUCCCCUCAGCCCAAGAGCAGGAACAAGAAAAGUAAGAAGAAGAAAGGAGACGGAGCCGGCUCUGCAAUUGAUGAUGUCUUUCUGCCUAAAGAUAUUGACCUAGACAGUGUGGACAUGGAUGAGACAGAGAGGGAGGUGGAAUACUUCAAAAGAUUUUGUUUGGACUCCGCUAGACAAACCCGACAAAGGCUGUCCAUCAACUGGUCCAAUUUCAGCCUGAAAAAAGCCACCUUUGCUGCCCACUGAAUGAGGACUGCCUGGAGAGGGACGCGCGGGAGGCAGGCCCAGGCCCAGGACAGCCCAACCAGACCCAUCCAGGCUUUGGUGUGAGAAGUGUCGGUGGGAGCAAGAGCACCACGUCCCUUUGGUUUUGGGACAAACCAGCAAAAGGAGAAACAGGCUGGGCGGUGGCCAUGGCGGCAACAGCGUCCCGAGGGGCGGAAAGCCCACUGCUGUCUCCCAGCGCUCCAAGCCCGGGGCGGGGCCUUGUCCACUCUGGCUGAGGCAGGGGCCAGGCAGGACCAGGGCUGGCUGGGCACUGGGCAGCCUGGACCAGCAGAGUGGACAGUGAGCCUGCUCUCAUGGAGGCCAGGCCUCGCCAGGUAAAGGCUCCCCACUAGAGCCCAAGACCUGCCUCUGCCCAGCCCUGUUCUCCCUGUGGACAGUCCUGAGACUGUGUUGGAGCCAGUCCCACCUCUGAGCCUCACUUCAUCUGUCCCUCGGGACCAUGCUGACUGCCGAGAGGAGCCCUGGGGUUCCAUCUGUGGUGUGAGCUGUCCAGGCCACGACUGGUGAGGACCCAUAGGUGCCCAGCACUGAACAGCCACCCUACACACCCCAGCUUCUGAGGUGGCCCCUUGGCACUUCCAAGUGGGCCUGCUGCCUGUACUUAACUCCAUGUCUGCAGUUUGCACCCCUCAGACCUCCCAGCCUUCUCCUUGCCAGGAAUGCACUUCCCCCAUUCUUGAGGCCAACCCCGAUCCUGCAAGACACUCCACACACACUGUUCCUUGAAACAGUCCUGAAGGGGUGUCACUUUGCCAUUCUGUUCUAGGGAACAAAGAAGAGGAUGGAUGUGGGUCUAUGAAGCUUAGGACCAAGUCAGAGGGUAGUAGAGGAUGGGCAUAGAGGGGGAUGGGGCCUCCUGAGGUCUGGCCUGUGGAGGCAGGUCCGGGCCUUGGGCACAACAUGGCCUGGUGACUUAGUCCCCCAGUGUUCUCACACCCACCAUCACAUGUACAGCUGAGGAAACAGGCCUGGGAGAGCGCCCAGGGAGCCGCACGCAGACUGUCACUUUGAGUAUCACCCCCUGUACGUGGUGGUAGUCCUGAGGUGAGACAGCAACUAAGUAAGAAACAUGGAAUGUUCUUCACUGAGCUGUGCUCACAAAGGCAUUAAAAAUCAAAAUGGUAUUAUAGCACCAGAAAGGACUAACACUUGAUUUCAUUAAUAAGUCUUUUAAAAGAAGAAAAACUUUCACCUCAGUUCAAUUUCAUGGUUUUAAACAUUAAACCUCCCAAGUCACUGGACCAAGUGGCAGACCUGAAAGGACAUGGGUUCUUGUUGUUCCGUCUUUGCAGUCACUGCUUGGAUCCACUAUUGAGUCGUAAGGAUGAGAGCGCAGCAGGGGUGGGGGCUGCGUGCAGCGACAUCCCCGACAUCUCUCAGCAGUGAGAACGCAGGAUGUGUCUAGCUGCGUGUCACGAGCCCACCUGUGUCCUGGCAGCCCUCUGGAGUCCUGGUCAGCAGUGUCCCAGGCCGAGGGACAGGCAUGGGUCCUGUGCUGACCCAAAGCGUGCGCAGGCAUUCCUAGACAGCAGUGGCGCCCGUGGGAGGUGAACGCUCUGGGAGCUGUCACUGUGCCACAUGGAAUUGUAAAGCCAAGGGCAUUUUGCAGUGUUUUGGGGUGUUGGAACAGAGGCAGCAGGAGGCAGUGGCUCCUGAAUGAAGGGCAUGACAAGGUGAGCCUCUGAGUGUCCUGGCAUCCUGCCUGGAGGCAGCUUCCACAGCCCAGCAGGAUCACUGAGCAGAGGAAACAGAUUGUCCUUUGGGGAGGCUGAAGCGGUGGGUUAUGGGGCAGGGAUCCAGGGGCUGCACCUGGAGAACCCCAAAGACCUGUGGGGAGUCGCCUCAAGUCCCUUCAAACCUACUGACCUCUGCAGGUGUGGCAUAAAAUUCCUCCAUCCAAGGGAUCAGAAAGCAGGAGGGUUGGGGUUUUGUCUCCACCAGCCAGGGUAGAAAGACCCUGUGAUACACAUGGCCAACAUUAUCUAGAGGAAUACAGAAAUAUCCCACACUAAACAAAGCAAAAUUCGUUGGAAUCAGGCAAAAUUACCAGGCCAUGCCGAGAAGAGGGGAAAUGUAAGCUAUAAUCAGGAGAAAUACCAGAAAAACAAUAGUAACACUCAGAAAUGACACGGUGAAUUUGCACACAAGAACCUUAAAAUAGCCAUUGUAAAUCUUACUAAUUUACAUCUUCAAGGAUAUAAAUGAAACAAGAUGAAAGAAGAAAUGAAAGAUAAAAAAUGCCCAUGUGAAACUUAUAACUAAAGGAAUCUAAAAUAAAAAAUAACCAUAGAGAGAAUUAGCAGAUUACAAACUUCUCCAGAAGAAAAUAUCUAACUACUUGAUGGCAUAUGACUAGAAACUACCCAAAAUGAUGAAAUUGGAGAAGAAAGACAGGAUAAAAUGAGCUGUGAGACAGUAUCGGGCAUCUAACAGACAUGUAACUGGACUUCUAUAAAAGAGCAACAAGAAAUAGAAAUUUCAGCAUCAGCUUGUCAUAAGCCUACUGAGAAGAUGAUGGAGCCAGUAUUGGGUCUACAG